GACGAACGCUGGCGGCAUGCCUAACACAUGCAAGUCGAACGGAGAUUAUUUCGGUAAUCUUAGUGGCGAACGGGUAAGUAACGCGUGGGCAACCUGCCCUCUAGAUGGGGACAACAUCCCGAAAGGGGUGCUAAUACCGAAUGUGACAGCAAUCUCGCAUGAGGAUGCUGUGAAAGAUGGCCUCUAUUUAUAAGCUAUCGCUAGAGGAUGGGCCUGCGUCUGAUUAGCUAGUUGGUGGGGUAACGGCCUACCAAGGCGAUGAUCAGUAGCCGGUCUGAGAGGAUGAACGGCCACAUUGGGACUGAGACACGGCCCAGACUCCUACGGGAGGCAGCAGUGGGGAAUCUUCCGCAAUGGGCGAAAGCCUGACGGAGCAAUGCCGCGGGAGUGAUGAAGGAAUUCGUUCCGUAAAGCUCUUUUGUUUAUGACGAAUGUGCAGAUUGUGAACAAUGAUCUGUAAUGACGGUAGUAAACGAAUAAGCCACGGCUAACUACGUG
rnacentral:rRNA from 1 species